GAGAAUCGUGAUCUUUCCCUGGACUCAAUACCUAGGGGGCAUUGUUACAUAUUCCUGGCCCAGAACCUAGGUGAUGUGACUCUCCUACCUGGUCACUGCUCACAGGCACAGUAUCCGACAACUGGGAUUGCCACUCUCACACAUGGACAAAGCCCACAGGUGAGGUUCCGAUUCUCACAUAUCCAAACAGUCCACGGUUAGAAUUAGAACUGUCAUAUGUGGAUCUGGCAACAGGUUGGAAAGGUGACUCAUUUCUGAACCCAGCUCAUAGGCAUGUCACUGUCUCUCAAGCCUGGUUCCAACUAAUAGAAGAGAUGUUGACUCUUGUAUCUAGGCUUAUGGCAACAGAUAAGAUCCUGGGCUUCCCACUUUUACAGAGGUCUCAGAGAACUACAACUGUCAUGCAUAUUGUAUGAUGCCCUAAGAUUGUACAGAGAGUGUUAAAACAGGGCCCAGCUCAAAAUUCUGAUUGUGACCCUUGUAUGCACACACAGUCCACAGUUAGAAUUAAAUGUGAACAUAAUCCACUCAUGAGGUCCUGGAUCUCACUCACAGAAACAGUUCACAGUUGGAAUUGUGACUGUCAUAUCUGGAUCCAUCCACAAAUGGGAUGGUGCCUCGUUUUUGGACCCAGCUCCCAGGCACACUAAUGACUCUCAUACCUGGACCCAGCAAAUAGGACUGGUGUGGACUCUCAUGCCUGAACUUAGGGCAACAUGCAGGAUCAUGGGUUUAUACCAUGAUGAAGGUCUCAGAACAGGUUUGUCAUGCAUACCAUACGAAGCCCUUAAGUGGCACUGAGGGUGUCUUAUAAAAGCCCAACACACAGGUGACAUUGUGACACUCCUAUGUACACACAACAUACAGUGAGGAAUGUCAUCUUCCCAUAUGGGCACAGCCCAUUGUUGAGGUUCUGAAUAACACACCCAGAUCAGUUGAAAGUUGGUAAUGUGACUUUCAUACAUGGAGCCAGUUCACAGGAGAAAUGGUGACUUUUAUACCAAAACUCAGCACACCUGUGAGGCAGUGACUGCCCUAAUUAGACAGUGUUUGCAGAUGAGGUUGAAGUGUUCAUGCAUGAAUUCUGUUUGCCAUUGAGAUUGUGAUUUGUGUACUUUAACACAAUUCCCAGAAGGUGUUGUCUCUUACACCUUGAGCUAGAAAAUAUGUGGGACUGUGAAUAUCAUCCAUGGACUUUCCUGCAGGUGUGACUUUGACAUAUAAUAUUUUCUCAUCACCUGAUUGACUUUACUCCCUUGCAUGAACCCUGCCAACAGUUGGGAUCAUGACAUAUACCUCACCCAAACACCUAGGUGAUUUGACUAUGCUGCCUGCAUCCUGCCCCUAAGAGCCAUUGUAAUGUGUCUCUGAGCACGUCACCUAGGUGAUGAGACUCUACAUUCCCACCUGUACUCUGCCUCCACUAACAUAAAUCUGAGCAUAUUAUCUAGGUGACAUGACUCUCCUCUCAUGAGUGGGCCCUGUGAACAAGGGGGAUUAUGACAUAUUGCUAGGCCCAGCACCUAGGUGAUAUGACUCUUUUGACUGCGUUCUACCUGCAUUGGGCAUUGUGACAUAUCACUGAGCCUAACACAAAGGUGACAUGACUUUUCUGUAUGGUUCCUGACUAUGGAGAGAUAUUGACAUUUCCCUGCCCCAGCAUUCAGGUGAUGUGACUUUCCUCCCUGGUUCUGCUCACAGGUGAAACUGUGACCUAUAUCUAGGCCCAGGCAUAGUCAUAAUAAUGGCUUUCUUACAUGGACCCAGCCAAUAGGAGAAAUUUUGACCCUAAUAGGCUUAGGGCAACAACUAAAGUCCUUGGUCUACUAAUUAUAAAAAUGUCACAGAAGAUUAUGACACUCACAUGUAUUUUAUAAAGCCUUGGGGUGUAUAGAAAGUUACAUAACAGGG
rnacentral:lncRNA from 1 species